GCAGUUGGUAUCGAGUGUUGUUGUCGCGCCGAUCGUGUCGUACCCCACAUCAGCGAACACAGCGGGGCCACAACAACUGGCACACAGGAGGGCACAGAGACCAGACAGGGCAGACUCCUCCUAUACGGACACACGCAGCGCGCACAGUGUUCGGGGGCCAUCGAAGCCAGCAGAACCGCAGGGCCCUGUCCGCAGCCCGAAACAGACCCCCCCUCGCAGCCUACAUAUAGCGGAAGAUAAACAAGAAAAAGGAGAAGGAGGAGAAGAAGAACAGAAAGAAGCAACACAGAGAGAGUGAGAGAGAAAGAGAGACAGUGUGCAGUAGUGUGAACGUGCGCCAUCGAAAAUAGAAUAGUUGAAGAGAGUUGAAGCUGUGAAGUCGAAGUCGCCGAACUUCCAAUUAUGGCCGAAACGUACGAAGAGUUCGAGGAGACGCACCAUGUCACCAGAAAGUCCGUUACCACCUUCAAGAUCGAGGAAACCUCUUCGUCGACCACGACCAAAACGAUCACCACACCGGCGAAGCUGUACGGGAAGGAUGUUGGCGCCUACGACGACAUCGACGUGGACGAGCUGCUCGCUCAGUUGUCGCCGGAGGAGAUCACCAUGCUCGCCAAAGAGGUGGAUCCAGAUGACUCAUUUUUGCCACCAAGUCAACGCACCAACUACGAAUGCGAGAAGGCUCCGACCGGGCCGCUUGAUCGGAAGAAGCUGAUCGAUCACAUCAACAAGCAAGCGCUAGAAACGCCCGAUCGCCCCGAACUUGAGCCUUUCGUGCCGGGUGUCGUCCGCGGCAAGAAAUGGAUACCGCCACCACCGGCCGCGAAGCUGCAGGCUGCGGAUGAGCAGAUUGCGAUCGAUCUGGGCGACGAGUACGAGCAGGCACUGACGGACGCAACCCAGGAGGAGAUCAUCGAUCUGGCCGCCAUCCUCGGGUUCCACUCGAUGAUGAACCAGGACCAGUACCACGCCUCGCUUCUGAACAAGGGCCAACCGGUCGGGCUGGGCUGGGACGGCAUCACGAAGUCGGCGAUACCGAAGAUCUUCCCGGCCGAGGCUCCCAAUACGACCGAUCCUGAGGAUACGAUUCAGCGCGUCAAAAACGACGAUGACAAGCUGGUGGAGGUGAACUUGAACAACAUCAAGACCAUCUCCGAUGAGCAGUUCGAUAAGCUGUUCGACGCGCUCAGGACGAACACACACCUGGAGGUGCUGUCGCUGACCAAUGUCGGCCUCACCGAUCGUACCGCACUUGUACUGGCCACGGCCCUCGAGCAGAAUCACGGGUUGCGUGUGCUGAACGUCGAAACGAACUUUAUCAGCCCGCCCGUCAUCGUGGUGCUGAUCAAGAGCCUGCUGACGCAGAUGACAAUCGAAGAGUUCCGUGCCUCGAAUCAGCGAUCGCAAGUGUUUGGCAACAAAAUCGAGAUGGAGAUAACGGAACUGGUCGAAAAGAACACCACCCUGCUGCGGCUGGGUUUGCAUUUGGAGUUUAAUGAUGCCCGGCAUCGGGUCGCGGCACAUCUGCAGCGCAACAUCGAUAGAAUUCGGGUCGAUAAGCGGGACGGUCGGUCGUCGCGCGGCAGCUACUAUCGGCCGGUGCGCGUCGAGGAGGAUCUCGUUGCCGAAAUGUCCGACGUCGAGGAAGAGCCAGAUGAGGUGGAGGUGCCGGUAGAAGACUACGACGUCGAGGAGGAUCCCGACAAUGUCGUCAUCCGCCCGCCACCAUCGGACGAUGAGGAUAUGUAAAUGUUUUGUUCCCUCCCUAAAAGGCUAAAAGAUAAUAAUACGCCACAACAACUAAAAACAAGCGUAAUUGUGCACAAACACACACACACACAUAGGCAGAUAGGCCAUACAAAAGAGAAGCUCUCCCCCUGCCAGACCUCAUUUUUCAAGCAAUGCCGAACAACUUGUGAAAAUUGUCAUCUGAAAAUAGAAGUAUGCUAAGCUGGGCGCAUCGAUCACUUCAUCGUAACGGCGUGUCUAAAGUUGUUUUCUUUACUACUCCUACUACCACGGUACUCUUCCAAAACGCUCACUUCUAGUUUGCUAAUGCUUUAUUUCCGUCUUCACAUUAUCCGCAACUCAAUCGUCUGUACUCUAUCUACUCAUCUCACGAUAGCAUGUGAAUCGUUAAAAUCUCUUGUGGAUGUAUUGAAGUUACAUUUUUCAAACAGGCUACGAUUCCAGAGCGUCGUAGACAUUGUUAAUUAGGUAAAUUUUUCGAGUUGCGAUUGCCAUAGUGUGCGGAGUAAAUCUAUUAUUUCGUAUUUAAUAUUGUCCUUCGUGUAUGUAUUAGAAUCCGAGUUUUCCCUUUUUCAUGAGUUUAUUGUUAUAAGCCUUGUAAUAUAAAUGAAAAGCGAGUAAUGCAGAUGUAGUGUACGUAGCUACCUUCUAGUCUUUGUGAUGGAAGGACUCGUUCUUCACCGAUUCGACUACGUGGCUUUAGUUUAGUUUAGUCUAACCCAUGGCGAACGAACUACAAUUUUGCUAGCAGUGUCAUAGAUCGUCAAGGUACGAUACAACAGUGAGUCUUACUUUAUUUCUUAUCGCUUGUUUGCUUCUGUUACUAUUCUAAUGUGUGCUCAGCUUAGGCUUCCGCCUCCUCAACGCAGAAAAUGGCGUACCAUCACCAUCGUUGCGCUCCCUCGGAAUGGCCACGAUACUGUUUGCCCAUCUUCCGUGUUCUUCAUUUUCAUCUGUUUUUUUAGCGGAAGAAACACACAUAUACAGAUAGAAGAGAUAUUUCAAAACAAUUUAACAAAAAAACAUGGUCCGCCCAUCAACAGCCACCACGACGCCACCACCUCCAGUUGAUCUAACUUGAUCGCAUUCCCAUUUGCCUGCCUGUGGUUUGUAGGCCUACCGUGUUUUCCACAAUCUUUUUCCGAUUCAAAGACAGUAAACUCGAAGGCCUCAUUAUAACAUGGCUAAGAAUGUAAUCUAGACAUAAACAAAGUGUAUACAAAUCAAUUCAAACAAACACGAACACACCCACACACACAUUCACGCAUCUGAUUGGAAACAAAAUCUGAAACCGAACCGAAACAAACAAACAAAAAACAAUCAUUAUUGUAGCAGCAUAAAAAAGCGUGUUGAAGGCGAUAGGCGUCGUAGAGAGAGAGAGAGAGAAACAGAGGCGUACCUUUUUUCGAUUUGCUACAUCGUAUUAGACCGAUAAAGGGGCUGCACUGCCCAUAAGCGUUGUACACCUGUGUCUCAGAUUAUAAUAUGUGUAACAGAAAACAAACAUCUUACACAGGUUGCCAGUAGUGGAGCCUCUGUGCACUGCCUCGGCCUCUGUUGCUCUGGUGGAGGCUGACAAAUUCGUUGUGAGAUUCGAUGGUUAGCGCCGUUAUGGAUACCGUUUUUUUCUUCUUAAUUUUCACCUACACUCCGAACUCGCCUAUUGCUUGGCGUACGACAGCAGGGAAGUGUACGUUGCAAGGAAGUGGCAAAUGAUUAAUACUACGGUACGGCGCACACGCUCCUGAACAGUGAAUGGGAAUAUUUGGUGUGUAAUUUCACCGCGUUCUGCUGAUUAAAUCUUAAAUUGUAAGCGUACAUGCGUGAGUGUGUGGGUGUGUGAGGUGUACAGUUAUCUACUUCACCAUAGUAGCACUCACUUGAUUGUUCAUUACUUUCACUAUUUUCACAAUAUCUCUUACUUGAGCUCUCUCUCUCUCUCUUUAUCUCAUUUGUCUCAUCUCUAUCUAUGAUCAGUCAGUAUGAUCACAUUGAAGUAGUUUGUUCAUCAAAGGUGUAAUCGACACACCUUAGCAUUGCUAGUGUUAUAGGCUAAAGACGCCACCUCCCCCCUCCAACUACGAGGGAGGGAAGAGAAAUAGGAAAUAAACACAAUUAUUAUCGACUAUAAAACUA